rnacentral:rRNA from 1 species
UACGGGGGGGGUAAGCGUUGUUCGGAAUUACUGGGCGUAAAGGGCUCGUAGGCGGCCAACUAAGUCAGACGUGAAAUCCCUCAGCUUAACUGGGGAACUGCGUCUGAUACUGGAUGGCUUGGAUUCGGGAGAGGAAUGCGGAAUUCCCAGUGUAGUGGUGAAAUACGUAGAGAUUGGGAAGAACACCAGUGGCGAAGGCGGCUAUCUGGACGGUUUCUGACGCUAAGACGCGAAAGCGUGGGGAGCAAACAGG